GACGAACGCUGGCGGCGUGCUUAACACAUGCAAGUCGAACGGAAAGGCCCUGCUUUUGUGGGUUGCUCGUUUGGCGAACGGGUGAGUAACACGUGUGUAACCUGCCCUUGUCUUUGUGAUAUCUUCAGGAAACUGGGGCUAAUACCCGAUAUGAUCUCCUGCUGCAUGGUGGGGGUUGGAAAGUUUCGGCGGUUGGGGAUGGUCUCGCUGCUUAUCAGCUUGUUUGUGGGGUAGUUGCUUACCAAGGCUUUGACGGGUAGCCGGCCUGAGAGGGUUACCGGGGACAAUGGGACUGAGAUACGGAGCAGACGGCAACGGGAGGCAGCAGUGGGGAAUAUUGCACAAUGGGCGGAAGCGUGAUGCAGAAACGCCGCGUGCGGGAUGACGGCCUUCGGGUUGUAAACAGAUUUGGAAUGAGACGAAGAGUGAGUGACGGUAAUGGGUAAAGAAGCAACGGCUAACUACGUG
rnacentral:rRNA from 1 species